rnacentral:lncRNA from 1 species
GCUGAUUUUGUUAAAAUGAAAUAAUUUAAUGUGGAAAUCUACUCACUAAGUACUGUGAUGCUUAGGAAAAAUUGAAUGUAAAUAAAGAUGUGGUAUAAUAUCAGUCCUCCAUAUUGUAGAACUCUCACUCUUUCUGAAAGAUUCCUUUGACAAUCCAGAAUCGAUAAGGAACUUAAGCAAUUCAACGAGCAAUAAACAAAUAACCCCAUUAAGAAAUGGGCAAAAGACAUGAACAGACACUUCUAAAAAGAAGAUAUACAAGUGGCCAACAAACAUAAAAAAAUGCUCACCAUCAUUAAUUAUCACAGAAAUGCAAAUCAGCAGUACAAUAGGAUACCAUCUCACACCAGUCAGAAUGAUUGUUAAAAGGUCAAAAACAAGAUACUUGUGAGGAUGCAG